CUCCAGAAUAAACCAUCUGUUUAUUUCCUUUGAUGUAAGAACUGUGUUUUUAUACCUGCAGUCUUUGGCCACCAAAUGUGAGGCCCCUAAAAGACAAUCAGCUUCUCAUUGUCAGAAUCAGCUGGAUUAGGACCGGGUGCCAGCAUUGUCCUGCACAACAUCAUCCUGCACUUCGUCAUCACCCCCGGAUGCUGGGCAGAAGGUGACGCUCACCCACUCCGAAUGUUCCUCUGCAAACUCAGCCCUGACUCUCACGGUGUGGUCGCCGUACUUAGAAAGAUUUGAGAAGUCACACUGGGUAGAGGCAGUGUUCUUACAGUGAUCUUGGAAAUACCAAGUGGAGAAAACUUGGAGACGAAACGUCAAAAUCUGCCUCACUAGAGAUGCUGCAGAACGACCCUUUGUCACCCACCGGACUCUGGACUACAGAUAGAUGAAUUGAGGUGUAAAAGAGCGCCCUGAUGUAAACACCCUCCCAGUCUGCCUGCCAGAGUGUGUCCAGGAAGGUUUGACAUAUCCUGGAUGCCUGGAUGUGAGCGGCACUUUCUUAGGAACUGAGGCCUCAGACUGACUUUAAAAAGGAGGGAGCGAGCCAAGAAGCAGCUUCCUCUCUGCUUCCUGACUGGAUGCCUGCGUAUGACAGGCUCCCCACAGUGAUGGGCUGUACCCUCAAACCAAGCCUCCCCCCAAAACCUUUCCUUCCUCACGUCGCUUUGUCAGAUGUUGUCAUAGCAAUGAGAGAAGAAAUUAAUACAGCAAGGCAGAGAGUCCAGGGAGGAAAAAAGAGAGUUAAUACUAAAAACUGGCAAAUCUCAAUGUAGAUGCUCUAGCUUUUAUUACUAUUCUUAAAACGUUGAAAUGUUCGGUUUGUAUGAAAUUAUCUCAAACUAAGAAAAAACAUUAAA